rnacentral:rRNA from 1 species
AUGACUCACGGCAACGGAUAUCUCGGCUCUCGCAUCGAUGAAGAACGUAGCGAAAUGCGAUACUUGGUGUGAAUUGCAGAAUCCCGUGAACCAUCGAGUUUUUGAACGCAAGUUGCGCCCGAAGCCGUUAGGCUAAGGGCACGUUUGCCUGGGCGUCGUA